UUUGUUCAAUAACAAUAGUACAAAAACUUUCAAAACUAAAACAAUUCAAAAAUGAUUUCAAUGUAUAUCAUAUAUAUCUUUUAAUCCACAGCCUUAGCGACUAAGGUUACAAUAGCCCUGUAACAUGGCCCAAAAGUUUGAUAACGUUAUGAUACACACCCUACUAAGGUAUCUAUAAAAAUGCAUGCUCCCCGAAGGGCAUCUAAAAGGUGUGCGCCUUAGUAGGUCCUAUAUUAGCUCCGGAACUAAACGUAAUCAAUAACGGGUUCUAUACAUAGUCAGACUGAGGAUUUCAAAAACUUUUCUCAAUAUUAUCGAUAAUAUAAAUGAUACUUUUUCACAGUUCAAAAUCAUAUAAUCUCAUUCACAAUUCAAAAAUAAAUACUUGAUCCGAAUUUUGAAAUAAAAGAACAUAACAAUUUAAUUUAAAUGGAAGCCUUAAAUAAAAAUAACGAAUUUUGAAACUGUACAUUUAGGCAUCCAAAUAAUUAAUAAGACAUACUUAAAAGUAACGAUAAUCUUAAAAAACACUAAAUAGUUCGAAAAACCACUUACCUCGAUAUUGCAAAACACGAAAUUAAAAACGAACAAAUCCUAAAUAUAAAAUUAAGACAAAUAGAAUUAUUAGAAUACAAUAUUAUAACACAAUCAUACUCUUUAUUCGAAUAUUAUGCACAUAAAUCUUAAAUUUUAAAUAAAUUCGUAGUUAAUUAUUAUAAAAAUUGAUUACAAAAUUAACCAUAUAUAUAAGGCAAAUAUCAUCUCAUAAUAAAAAAUAAGGGUUUAAGUUUUACCUUAUUGAAUUUUCUUUUUUUCUUCUUCACUGUUCUACAGUACUCCAAAGCCAAAUAAAUUUUACGUUCUUUUCUCUCUCUAGUUGUUUAAAUAUAUGUAAUUCCUUUGCAAUAUAGGUUACUAGGUAAAAGAGUCCUUUUUAAAUUAAGAAUUUGUUAUACUUGAAUGACUUUUCUUAUCCUUAUAGGUUUUAGAUAUGUAUAAAUAAUUAUUAGUUAUACUUUUAUUAUCUAAUUAUAUUAUUUUAUUAUUUUAUUAUCUUUUAUCUUUUAUCUUUUUUUUAAACCGGGUAUUACAUUCUACCCACCUUAAAAUAAUUUGGCCCUCCAAAUUCCCAAAUUACAAUUUCAAAGAAAACACGAAUAUCACAGAAUCAAGAAAUUCAUUAUCUAAUUACUAAAUGCAAUUAAUAAAAGAGUUUCAUACCUUAAUUUUGGUUGCCUGAAAGCUGAAACACACGUCCUCGAUUUGGUCCUAGGCUUGCCAAUGUUAUUUCUUCCUCUUUUUCAUCUCUUUUCGGUGGAGGGUUCUUGGGGCAUUGUGCAAUCCUAUGGCCGAAAUCUCCACAAUGAAAACACGUUCCCGUAUUCCAACGACAUUCCUUAUCUAGGUGGUUUCUACCACACCUCGAACACUUCAGUUUGUUCUCUUAAUUCCAUUGGUUUCCUCUAAACUUAGUGGUUUGCGUAUUCAACUUCUUUGUAGGUACCCCAUGGCUAGACUCUUCCCCAGAUGGUUCGUCCCUCUUAUUGUUCUUCCCUUUCUCCAUUUCCGCUAAGCCCUUCUCGAUCACUAACGCCUUAUUGAGCACCGCAUCAUAUGUGGGCAGCUCAAAAGACGCCACUCCAUGUCUUAUGUCGGCCCGUAAUCCAUCCUCUAACCUUCGCGCUGCGCUUUCGCCGCCUCAUCUGCCACAAAGGUCGGUGACAUAUUGGCAAGCUUCGCGAAUUCAGCUUCAUAUUGAGCAACUGUCUUGCUCCCUUGUUCGAGCCUAAUAAAUUCUCUCUCCUUUUGUGCCCGAAUUAUUCUAGGAAAGUAUUUGUUAGUAAAUGCCUCGUUGAACAUGGUCCAUGUAUAGGGUUCAGGAUUCCCUUCAUGAUUUCUUUUCUCCAUAAGCCACCAAUCAUAUGCCACACCCUGAAGCUGGUAAACUGCCAACGUCACCUUAUUAGCCUCACUACUCCCUAGCAAAUCAAAUGCCUUCUCCAUUUCUUGAAUCCACUUCUCAACUAUGGAAGGGUCCGUAGCCCCUUCAAAGAUUGGCGAAUUCAAUCGCUUGAAUUCCGCUACUAUGCCACGUUGCCCAGGUUGUUGGUUCUUCACUAGCUGAGCUAAAGUAGUAGCCAGCUGAGUCAGACCAUUAGCGCCAAAAUUGGUGUUAGUAGGGUUGCUUCUUCUAGGCGACAUUUUCACUACAAAAAGAAAUCCCCACUCAACAACACUAUACAAAACUAAUAACGAAUAAAAUAAAUAUCCAUUCAGCCUUGAGUACCAAACGUCAAACAAAACAUAGAUUUCUUACCAUAUUCUCUAUUUAAUUUUAAAAUAAUUAAAUUUAGUCAAUACUCUUACCCAUAGCUAACUCCCAAAACCACUCCCCAAGAAAUAUGUAGGUUUUUCAACCUAACACAUUGCGAGGGGACACCGCUUUGAUACCACCUCUGUAACACCCCGAACCCGAUAUAGGCCCAAAGUGUUACACGUCGCAAGCCCAUAGGCCCGCAAGGUAACAAUAUCAAUAACGCGCAGCCCAAACAAAAUAACUUAACAAUAAUCUCAACUUAAAAUCCAACAAUAAAUAUAUUUUAAAUCAAUCCAAAUGAAAUACUAAUAAAUACCACAUUCAAAUAAUGGAGACCCAGCUCCUCGAAACUAAGAGUUUUAUCAAAAUCCAUCAACAAAAGAAAAACAUCUAAAACUAAACUCCAACUAUUUCAAGCGUAUCAAAUAAAGGCUCAGCUUUCAAUGAUGGGACCUGUAAAAAAAUUUGUAAGGGGGUGAACGAUGAAGCCCAGCAAGUAGCAAUCUUCUCUAUCUAGCCGAAUCAAGUACAAUUUGCAAAAUACUUUUUCGAAAUAACUUUUUGUUCAAUAACAAUAGUACAAAAACUUUCAAAACUAAAACAAUUCAAAAAUGAUUUCAAUGUAUAUCAUAUAUAUCUUUUAAUCCACAGCCUUAACGACUAAGGUUACAAUAGCCCUGUAACACGACCCAAAAGUUCGAUAAUGUUAUGAUACGCACCCUACUAAGGUAUCUAUAAAAAUGCACGCUCCCCGAAGGGCAUCUAAAAGGUGUGCGCCUUAGUAGGUCCUAUAUUAGCUCCGGAACUAAACGUAAUCAAUAACGGGUUCUAUACAUAGUCAGACUGAGGAUUUCAAAAACUUUUCUCAAUAUUAUCGAUAAUAUAAACAAUACUUUUUCACAGUUCAAAAUCAUAUAAUCUCAUUCACAGUUCGAAAAUAAAUACUUGAUCCGAAUUUUGAAAUAAAAGAACAUAACAAUUUAAUUUAAAUGGAAG
rnacentral:lncRNA from 1 species